rnacentral:rRNA from 1 species
CAGUAGCCGCGGUAAUACGUAGGUGGCAAGCGUUGUCCGGAAUUAUUGGGCGUAAAGGGCUCGCAGGCGGUUUCCUAAGUCUGAUGUGAAAGCCCCCGGCUCAACCGGGGAGGGUCAUUGGAAACUGGGAAACUUGAGUGCAGAAGAGGAGAGUGGAAUUCCACGUGUAGCGGUGAAAUGCGUAGAGAUGUGGAGGAACACCAGUGGCGAAGGCGACUCUCUGGUCUGUAACUGACGCUGAGGAGCGAAAGCGUGGGGAGCGAACAGGAUUAGAUACCCCGGUAGUCCCUGUCUCUUAUAA